GACGAACGCUGGCGGCGUGCCUAAUACAUGCAAGUCGAGCGGACGAAUCGAAAGCUUGCUUUUGAUUCGUUAGCGGCGGACGGGUGAGUAACACGUGGGCAACCUGCCCUGUAGACGGGGAUAACACCGAGAAAUCGGUGCUAAUACCGGAUAACACGACAUGUCGCAUGACGUUUCGUUGAAAGACGGCGCAAGCUGUCGCUACAGGAUGGGCCCGCGGCGCAUUGGCUAGUUGGUGAGGUAACGGCUCACCAAGGCGACGAGGCGUAGCCGACCUGAGAGGUGGAUCGGCCACACUGGGACUGAGACACGGCCCAGACUCCUACGGGAGGCAGCAGUAGGGAAUCUUCCGCAAUGGGCGAAAGUCUGACGGAGCAACGCCGCGUGAGCGAAGAAGGCCUUCGGGUCGUAAAGCUCUGUUGUUAGGGAAGAACAAGUAACGCAGUAACUGGCGUUACCGUGACGGUACCUAACGAGAAAGCCACGGCUAACUACGUG
rnacentral:rRNA from 1 species